GCCUGGAUGGCUCAGUUGGUUAAGCGUCUGACUUCGGCUCAGGUCAUGAUCUCACGGUCUGUGGGUUCGAGCCCCGCAUCGGGUU
rnacentral:tRNA from 1 species